CUGCAGUUCAGAUUCUCCAUACUUUCUUUUGGGUCAGCCUAGGUGGGUUUAACUACCGUGUUUAAUGUCCUUUGGCUAAAUGACAGUCUGCUUUUAGUCCCGGAUUCUGCUGCCAUCUUCCAUGCGGUACCAACAUAUACCCGACAUGUGGCCCUUAAGUUUACAUUGACGGACAGCAGCAAGAAUGGGCAGAAGACCAUGUAUCAAUUGUGCAGUGAGAUCCUGAUUUAACAAUAAACUGAUAAAAGCAAGUAACUUACUGAACAAACAAAUUAAAAAAUAUUCGAAUGAAGAUAAGAUUAAUGAGCUCACUAUUUGGAUUAUAUUUCAAGUAUUUUAAAAACGGAAAGAGUUAAUAAAGCAAAGCCCUUAACAAUGCAA